AGCUUUGCACAGUAGCAGUAUCAUAGCCAGAGAGAUUUAUCCGAGGCGCGAUUAUUGCUAAUUGAAAAAAAAUAAUAAAUAAGUAAAUAAAUAAAUUUGUUUAUAAUGAUAGAUACCAUAGGUGACACGUUUUCCCACUUGAGUAUC